CACAUGCAAGUCGAACGAGCGAGAGAGAGCUUGCUUUCUCGAGCGAGUGGCGAACGGGUGAGUAACGCGUGAGGAACCUGCCUCAAAGAGGGGGACAACAGUUGGAAACGACUGCUAAUACCGCAUAAGCCCACGGUGCCGCAUGGCACAGAGGGAAAAGGAGCAAUCCACUUUGAGAUGGCCUCGCGUCCGAUUAGCUAGUUGGUGAGGUAACGGCCCACCAAGGCAACGAUCGGUAGCCGGACUGAGAGGUUGAACGGCCACAUUGGGACUGAGACACGGCCCAGACUCCUACGGGAGGCAGCAGUGGGGAAUAUUGCACAAUGGGGGAAACCCUGAUGCAGCGACGCCGCGUGGAGGAAGAAGGUUUUCGGAUUGUAAACUCCUGUCGUUAGGGACGAUAAUGACGGUACCUAACAAGAAAGCACCGGCUAACUACGUG
rnacentral:rRNA from 1 species